GAUUGCAGAUUGUUUUGCUGAUUGUUUCGAGUACGUUACUUAUUAUAUUGUUUGCUCGAUAUUGCUCAAAUACACCUUGUUUUUACUUACAAAUUCAUCGAAGAGAUGCUCUGUCAAGAUGGCCGUACAACAGAUUUUGAAUCGUGCUAAGUCUUUGGCAAAGGAUUUGGAAAGAUUUGUGGAUAAUGGCAGUGGACCGGACCAUGGCAAUGAGAUAUGAAAUAUCAGAUUGAUAUGUUGUAUCAGCACAGCAUUUAUAUUUCUGGUUCCGAAGAAGAUGAGCCUAUCCACAAUAUCAUUUUGAAUCUAAAGAAGAUCUUCWAAUUUAUUUGUGAAACAAGAGAUAUAUCUUCCGGAGCAGGGUACCAGACACAACAAAAACGUACUGGCGAACCCACAGGGAGCCCGGCUUUGGAAUCUGUACAUGAAUAAAUAAAUCAAUAAAGUGCUUUGGGUUUCCUGUGUUGAGAUUUGAAACAAGACGCCAAUGAUGUAUUGAGAUUUGGUAACUUGAUAGCAGAUUAAUGUAAGUAAUUCGAGAGCAGCUUAUAAUUCAAAUUUAACGUAUUAGUGUAACGCACGCCCUAGUAAAUGGUAAGAAAGAGAGAAGGGCUGAAACAAGGCAAGUUUAUCGUUACAUGUGCACCAGCGGUUGAUGGGACCAGUACUAAUGAGCUUUAGAGGAACGCAGUCUGAAUGUCAACAUGACGAGUGCUGGCAAUCAGAAUCUGGAAUCAAAUGAAAACAAAUCAAAUAUUCAAGGAGCACAAUACUUUAUGUUAUGGCUUUUGAAAAACUUUUCUGUAUCUGGACGGGAAUCCCAGGUUCCACUACCAAGGUUAAAUGAAAUGUUCUGCAAAGUUCUGGGGAAAGAAAAUGGAGUUCCUGAUAAAGAAAAAGGACAUUUCCCCUCUGUGGUACGCCAGAAAGUUCGUUUAGAGCGAGGCGGAAAACGAACCUAUGUAUAAUAUAAAGGACAAUAAAAACAGAAUGCUGCAUUUCAA